UAGUCCACGCCGUAAACGAUGGAUACUAGGUGUCCGGGAUAUUAACCUCCUGGGUACUACAGUUAACGCGUUAAGUAUCCCGCCUGGGGAGUACGGUCGCAAGGCUAAAACUCAAAGGAAUUGACGGGGGCCCGCACAAGCGGUGGAGUAUGUGGUUUAAUUCGAAGCAACGCGCAGAACCUUACCUACCCUUAACAUUUCACGACGUAUACAGAGAUGUAUAUUUCUCUUCGGAGACGUGAGGAUAGGCGCUGCAUGGCUGUCGUCAGCUCGUGUCGUAAGAUGUCUGGUUAAGUCCAAUAACGAGCGCAACCCUUAUCCUUAGUUACCAGCAUUAAGUUGGGGACUCUAGGGAGACUGCCGGUGUUAAACCGGAGGAAGGCGGGGAUGACGUCAAGUCCUCAUGGCCCUACGCCCAGGGCUACACACGUGCUACAAUGGCCGAUACAGAGGGUAGCGAACUUGUGAAAGUAAGCCAAUCUCAGAAAGUCGGUCUCAGUUCGGAUUGGAGUCUGCAACUCGACUCCA
rnacentral:rRNA from 1 species